AGCAGCCGCGGUAAUUCCAGCUCCAAUAGCGUAUAUUAAAGUUGUUGCAGUUAAAAAGCUCGUAGUUGAAUUUCGGGGUCAGCAGGUUGGUCGUGCCUCUGGUACGCACUGGUUUCGCUGAUUCCUCCUUUCUGAAGAACUGUAAUGUCAUUAAUUUGGUGUUGCAGGGAAACAGGACUGUUACUUUGAAAAAAUUAGAGUGUUUAAAGCAAGCUAACGCUUGAAUACAUUAGCAUGGAAUAAUGAAAUAGGACGUUUGAUCCUAUUUUGUUGGUUUCUAGGAUUGACGUAAUGAUUAAUAGGGAUAGUUGGGGGCAUUAGUAUUCAAUUGUCAGAGGUGAAAUUCUUGGAUUUAUUGAAGACUAACUACUGCGAAAGCAUUUGCCAAGGAUGUUUUCUAUUAAUCAAGAACGAAAGUUAGGGGAUCGAAGACGAUCAGAUACCGUCGUAGUCUUAACCAUAAACUAUGCCGACUAGGGAUCGGAUGAUGUUAAUUUUUAAUUGACUCAUUCGGCGCCUU
rnacentral:rRNA from 1 species